rnacentral:rRNA from 1 species
UGACGAAACUGGGAGGAAGGCGGGGACGACGUCAAGUCAUCAUGGCCCUUACGACCAGGGGCUACACACGUGCUACAAUGGUCGGUACAAAGGGUUGCUACCUAGCGAUAGGAUGCUAAUCUCAAAAAGCCGAUCGUAGUCCGGAUUGGAGUCUGCAACUCGACUCCAUGAAGUCGGAAUCGCUAGUAAUCGCGGAUCAGAAUGCCGCGGUGAAUACGUUCCCGGGCCUU